GUGGGGAAUCUUGCGCAAUGGGCGAAAGCCUGACGCAGCCAUGCCGCGUGAAUGAUGAAGGUCUUAGGAUUGUAAAAUUCUUUCACCGGGGACGAUAAUGACGGUACCCGGAGAAGAAGCCCCGGCUAACUUCGUGCCAGCAGCCGCGGUAAUACGAAGGGGGCUAGCGUUGCUCGGAAUUACUGGGCGUAAAGGGCGCGUAGGCGGACAGUCUAGUCAGAGGUGAAAGCCCAGGGCUCAACCUUGGAAUUGCCUUUGAUACUGGCGGUCUUGAGUACGGGAGAGGUGAGAGGAACUCCGAGUGUAGAGGUGAAAUUCGUAGAUAUUCGGAAGAACGCCAGUGGCGAAGGCGACUCACUGGCCCGUUACUGACGCUGAGGCGCGAAAGCGUGGGGAGCAAACAGGAUUAGAAACCCGUGUAGUCC
rnacentral:rRNA from 1 species